AGUCAAUGAGAAAUCCCAAUUCAGUCUUUGCAGGUUAGUCUAAAAUGCAGAGAUUAACCUGAAAAACAACUGGCCAGAUAUUCACUUUUAAUUCAGGAAAUGCAGCCACGUACCUGCAGUAACUCAGGCCAGAAGCCAAGGGGCACUAGAGCAUGGUUUUCUGGCACAUAGCCAGCAUUGGCUGUGUGUUUACUUCCUCUUCCUGCUGCCCCCAAAGUCUCUGGGAUUUGCAGUCCAGAACCACAGCUGCAGGACUCAUCACAUCCUCUUCCUGCUUCCAGGUGCCUCUGGGAUUUGUAGCCCAUAGUCACAGCCAGCAGUAAGUUUUUAGCACUGCAGGGCAGGGCAGUUCUGUACUCAGGGGAAGAAAGCCUUUGGCAAAGAAGGAGUCUGAAGCACAUCUUGGCUUGGUGACCUAAUCACUGGGACAAUCCUCCUUCACUGACAGAGGAGUUGAAUAUUCUAUAAUACCUAAAGGAAGGGCUGACUCUGCUGCACGUCAAUAGGACCAUGGUCAAUGAUUUCAGCGAAAGUGAGACAAGGCCAGAAGUAGCCCACCCAAGGCAGUUGUCAGAAGCUUUUCCAAACUGUACUCCAUCUCCUACCAUUCCAAACCUUUGUAAUACUUCCUCUUUGCAAUAAGUUUUCAUUUUAAAUAACAUUUAGGGGGGCUUAAAUAGCAUGGAAAAGCCUAAUUUAUUAGCUAAACAUGAUGGCCUCUUUGUCUUUAAGAGUUUUAGAUGGCUAUCUCCCAAAGGCAACAUUCUGAAACCUGUCAACCCAGUUGCACAGCCCUGGUAGAUUUGGUAAGGUUUAUGCCUGGCCCAUUGAAUCUGAGGUAAAGGACAGUAGCUCUGAGCUUUCAGUGCUCUGGCUACCUUUUGGGUGCAAGCUAUCUUGCUAAGAAAAAGAAAAUAUUCCACGAGGUGUUAACGAUAAAUGGUUGAUUGAAGCAAUAUCUCUAUACAGGCAACCCCUGCUUACCCCUGUUUCGCUUAGCGCUAUUUCACUAUAACACUUAUUUUAAAUUGAUACAUGAUUUCACCUAGCGCUCAGCAAGUUUUGCUAUAACACUCACAAUUGCCAUCUUGGGUCAUUAAAAACACUCACGAUCACCAUCUUGGGUUGUCAAAUACUUUCGAUUUCUCUUAACGCUUGUUUCACUUCAUGCUUGAUUUUCUAGGAGCUAAUUAAGAGCACUAAGCGGGGGUUGCCUAUAAUAAAAAUAAGCUAUGUGAAAAAUGUGAAUAUAUACAAAUGUACAAUUAGAAUCUUUUGUCAUCAUGUGUUAAAAAAACUAAAAGUGUUGACCUCUUAAAAAUAGUCACUUAGGGUUAGUUUCUCUGGACUCUUUUUGUAGCAAUGCAAAAAUAUACAAAACAUUUCCACGAUUUUAAUUCAGCCUCUAAUGGAGCAUGAAGUGAAUGAAUGAGAAAACGAGUGGAAAUAUAUACAAUGAUUUUUUUUAAAACUUAACAAGCCUGUUUGUUUGUU